AGAUUAAGUUAUUAAGGGCGCACGGUGGAUGCCUUGGCACUAGAAGCCGAUGAAGGACGUUACUAACGACGAUAUGCUUUGGGUAGCUGUAAGUAAGCGUUGAUCCAGAGAUUUCCGAAUGGGGGAACCCAGCAUGAGUUAUGUCAUGUUAUCGACAUGUGAAUUCAUAGCAUGUCAGAAGGCAGACCCGGAGAACUGAAACAUCUUAGUACCCGGAGGAAGAGAAAGAAAAAUCGAUUCCCUGAGUAGCGGCGAGCGAAACGGGAAGAGCCCAAACCAACAAGCUUGCUUGUUGGGGUUGUAGGACACUCUAUACGGAGUUACAAAAGAACAUGUUAGACGAAUCAUCUGGAAAGAUGAAUCAAAGAAGGUAAUAAUCCUGUAGUCGAAAACAUAUUCUCUCUUGAGUGGAUCCUGAGUACGACGGAGCACGUGAAAUUCCGUCGGAAUCUGGGAGGACCAUCUCCUAAGGCUAAAUACUCUCUAGUGACCGAUAGUGAACCAGUACCGUGAGGGAAAGGUGAAAAGUACCCCGGAAGGGGAGUGAAAGAGAACUUGAAACCGUGUGCUUACAAGUAGUCAGAGCCCGUUAAUGGGUGAUGGCGUGCCUUUUGUAGAAUGAACCGGCGAGUUACGAUCUGAUGCAAGGUUAAGCAGCAAAUGUGGAGCCGCAGCGAAAGCGAGUCUGAAUAGGGCGUUGAGUAUUUGGUCGUAGACCCGAAACCAGGUGAUCUACCCUUGGUCAGGUUGAAGUUCAGGUAACACUGAAUGGAGGACCGAACCGACUUACGUUGAAAAGUGAGCGGAUGAACUGAGGGUAGCGGAGAAAUUCCAAUCGAACUUGGAGAUAGCUGGUUCUCUCCGAAAUAGCUUUAGGGCUAGCCUCAAGUGAUGAUUAUUGGAGGUAGAGCACUGUUUGGACGAGGGGCCCCUCUCGGGUUACCGAAUUCAGACAAACUCCGAAUGCCAAUUAAUUUAACUUGGGAGUCAGAACAUGGGUGAUAAGGUCCGUGUUCGAAAGGGAAACAGCCCAGACCACCAGCUAAGGUCCCAAAAUAUAUGUUAAGUGGAAAAGGAUGUGGCGUUGCCCAGACAACUAGGAUGUUGGCUUAGAAGCAGCCAUCAUUUAAAGAGUGCGUAAUAGCUCACUAGUCGAGUGACACUGCGCCGAAAAUGUACCGGGGCUAAACAUAUUACCGAAGCUGUGGAUUGUCCUUUGGACAAUGGUAGGAGAGCGUUCUAAGGGCGUCGAAGCAUGAUCGCAAGGACAUGUGGAGCGCUUAGAAGUGAGAAUGCCGGUGUGAGUAGCGAAAGACGGGUGAGAAUCCCGUCCACCGAUUGACUAAGGUUUCCAGAGGAAGGCUCGUCCGCUCUGGGUUAGUCGGGUCCUAAGCUGAGGCCGACAGGCGUAGGCGAUGGAUAACAGGUUGAUAUUCCUGUACCACCUAGUAUCGUUUUAAUCGAUGGGGGGACGCAGUAGGAUAGGCGAAGCGUGCUGUUGGAGUGCACGUCCAAGCAGUAAGGCUGAGUGUUAGGCAAAUCCGGCACUCAUAAGGCUGAGCUGUGAUGGGGAGAGGAAAUUGUUUCCUCGAGUCGUUGAUUUCACACUGCCGAGAAAAGCCUCUAGAUAGAUAACAGGUGCCCGUACCGCAAACCGACACAGGUAGUCAAGAUGAGAAUUCUAAGGUGAGCGAGCGAACUCUCGUUAAGGAACUCGGCAAAAUGACCCCGUAACUUCGGGAGAAGGGGUGCUCUUUAGGGUUCACGCCCAGAAGAGCCGCAGUGAAUAGGCCCAAGCGACUGUUUAUCAAAAACACAGGUCUCUGCUAAACCGUAAGGUGAUGUAUAGGGGCUGACGCCUGCCCGGUGCUGGAAGGUUAAGAGGAGUGGUUAGCUUCUGCGAAGCUACGAAUCGAAGCCCCAGUAAACGGCGGCCGUAACUAUAACGGUCCUAAGGUAGCGAAAUUCCUUGUCGGGUAAGUUCCGACCCGCACGAAAGGCGUAACGAUUUGGGCACUGUCUCAACGAGAGACUCGGUGAAAUCAUAGUACCUGUGAAGAUGCAGGUUACCCGCGACAGGACGGAAAGACCCCGUGGAGCUUUACUGUAGCCUGAUAUUGAAAUUCGGCACAGCUUGUACAGGAUAGGUAGGAGCCUUUGAAACGUGAGCGCUAGCUUACGUGGAGGCGUUGGUGGGAUACUACCCUAGCUGUGUUGGCUUUCUAACCCGCACCACUUAUCGUGGUGGGAGACAGUGUCAGGCGGGCAGUUUGACUGGGGCGGUCGCCUCCUAAAAGGUAACGGAGGCGCUCAAAGGUUCCCUCAGAAUGGUUGGAAAUCAUUCAUAGAGUGUAAAGGCAUAAGGGAGCUUGACUGCGAGACCUAACA
rnacentral:rRNA from 1 species